rnacentral:lncRNA from 1 species
CGCCCAGACAGAAAAAGGUAAAGCAACUUAGAACAAAUCUCAAAGCAUACUCAGUUUGGACGCCCAGACAGAAAAAAGUAAAUUUAUAACAAAUAUCAAAACAUACUCCAACCUACUAUACUGGAUUGGACGUGGAAGAGAAAAAUACAAUCAGAAGCAUACACCAACUUGGACUCGGACAUGGAAAACAUACACCAACUUGGACUCGGACAUGGAACCAAUCGGGAACCAUACACCAACUCGGACUGGCAAAGGUUCUAUACUAAUAUAAAUACCCAGCUCUCAGAGAUUGAACGCCCAGAGAAAAAAGUGCCACCAGCUAAGUACACGCCAAGCAAUCUCCAAGCUACAGCGCCAACCAAAACAAAGGAGCAGUCAAGUAUGUUCCUUGUCUCCCGUUUUCGUUCUUCCCAAUGAAUUCUUGAAUCUCACACAUGGUAUUUGAUACUCAUCAGUCCUA